rnacentral:rRNA from 1 species
UACGGAGGAUCCGAGCGUUAUCCGGAAUUAUUGGGUUUAAAGGGUGCGUAGGCGGCCAUUUAAGUCAGCGGUGAAAUUUUGCAGCUUAACUGUAACAGUGCCGUUGAUACUGUUUGGCUAGGAUUUGGUUGUAGUGUGCGGAAUGUGUGGUGUAGCGGUGAAAUGCUUAGAUAUCACACAGAACACCGAUUGCGAAGGCAGCACACUAAGUCAUUAUUGACGCUGAGGCACGAAAGUGUGGGGAUCAAACAGGAUUAGAUACCCCCGUA